rnacentral:rRNA from 1 species
UAACAAGGAUUCCCCUAGUAACUGCGAGUGAAGCGGGAAAAGCUCAAAUUUAAAAUCUGGCAGCUUUGGCUGUCCGAGUUGUAGUCUGGAGAAGCGUUUUCUGUGCUGGACCGUGUACAAGUCUCUUGGAACAGAGCGUCAUAGAGGGUGAGAAUCCCGUCUUUGAUACGGACUGCCAGUGCUGUGUGAUGCGCUCUCAAAGAGUCGAGUUGUUUGGGAAUGCAGCUCAAAAUGGGUGGUAAAUUCCAUCUAAAGCUAAAUAUUGGCGAGAGACCGAUAGCGAACAAGUACCGUGAGGGAAAGAUGAAAAGCACUUUGGAAAGAGAGUUAAACAGUACGUGAAAUUGCUGAAAGGGAAACGCUUGAAGUCAGUCGCGUCGACUUGAACUCAGCCUGGCUUUUGCCUGGUGCAUUUUUGGGUCGACGGGCCAGCAUCAAUUUUGACCGCUGGAAAAAGGCCUCGGGAAGGUGGCACCUUCGGGUGUGUUAUAGCCCUUGGUUGCAUACAGUGGUUGGGAUUGAGGAUCUCAGCAUGCCUUUAUGGCCGGGGUUCGCCCACGUUCAUGCUUAGGAUGCUGGCGUAAUGGCUUUAAACGAC